CCCAGACUCCUACGGGAGGCAGCAGUGAGGAAUAUUGGUCAAUGGACGCAAGUCUGAACCAGCCAAGUAGCGUGCAGGAUGACGGCCCUCCGGGUUGUAAACUGCUUUUAGUUGGGAAUAAAAGGGGGCUCGUGAGCCCCGUAUUGUAUGUACCAUCAGAAAAAGGACCGGCUAAUUCCGUGCCAGCAGCCGCGGUAAUACGGAAGGUCCGGGCGUUAUCCGGAUUUAUUGGGUUUAAAGGGAGCGUAGGCCGGCUUUUAAGUCAGCGGUAAAAAUUCGGGGCUCAACCCCGUCCGGCCGUUGAAACUGGGGGCCUUGAGUGGGCGAGAAGAAGGCGGAAUGCGUGGUGUAGCGGUGAAAUGCAUAGAUAUCACGCAGAACCCCGAUUGCGAAGGCAGCAUACCGGCGCCCAACUGACGCUCAGGCACGAAAGCGUGGGUAUCGAACAGGAUUAGAUACCCCCGUAU
rnacentral:rRNA from 1 species